CCUGCCCCAGCAGUACCGCCGAAGCUGCCCCCCGCGUCUUGGUUACGCAUCUGCGAUCGGUCUGCCCACGUGGGUGUUGUGUGUCCUUGUGCGCGCGUGCGAGGAGCCCUCGACGAUCCGCGCCCUUCGGGGCGAUGAGACGCGAGAAGUCUUCUCGUCGACGCCACGGGAGACCGCCUGCAGCAGCAGCAGCCGCCGCCACCCCCCCCCCCCUCACGGACGACGCGGGCCCCCCACGGACAACGCGGGCCCCCCACUGACAACGCGGUUUUGGCGCAAGCGUGGGACAUGAGGAGGAGUCGCAGUCUCUCAUUGGUGGCUCCUGACUUCGCGAUGACUCUGGGAGAGAAGGGACGAGGUCAGAAUUCUGUGCUCACCAAGUCGCUCACCGGGACUCACCGGGGACUCGCCGGGGACUCGCCGGGGACUCACCGAGCGAGGACCGAGGGCCCACGGAGGUUUCCCAGAGAUGUCAAAUCCGCCGGCUGCCGCCACGCCGGUGACUCCACGUCUCGUCUGACGGCAAGCGCGGCCGCUGAUACCGACCAGGCCACAGCACCGCAUGGCCACGACCACCACCAUCUACUUUUUUUUUUUACGAUCAGUGGAAACAAGAAGAUGCUCGGUGUAUUCGGCGCUUUGCUUCGUUCAUCAUUUCGUAUUUAUUUUUUAAAAAUAACUUUGCUUUAUGAAAACCCCCCACCUACUAACUCGACCCUACUAACGGUGCAGCCUUCGUUGGCGAAGUGGUUUCCGACUCUCCUUACGCCAACAACAGAGUAUCGUCAGCAAUUGAUUUCUCUUAUUUUGUCAUCGUAAUCAUCUUCAUUAGCCCUUGAUUUCUCCAUGGAAUAUUUUUUGUCUGGAUCUCCUCCCAUCGCCCCCGCCCCCCAUCGCCCCCCCCCCCCCCGCAUCGCCCC